CGCAGCCCCCUAAAUGAAGUGGCGGCCCCGCCGCGGCGCCCCCUGCGUAGUAGUUCUCUCUCGCAUCGGGCCCCGGCGAAGGCCAGCCGUCGAACCCAACUUUCUAUGGUUUGACCUCGGAUCAGGUAGGGAUACCCGCUGAACUUAAGCAUAUCAAUAAGCGGAGGAAAAGAAACCAACAGGGAUUGCCCCAGUAACGGCGAGUGAAGCGGCAACAGCUCAAAUUUGAAAUCUGGUCCCCCUUGGGGGCCCGAGUUGUAAUUUGAAGAGGAUGCUUCUGGCGAGGCGCCGUCCGAGUUCCCUGGAACGGGACGCCAAAGAGGGUGAGAGCCCCGUACGGUCGGACGCCGAGCCUCUGUGAAGCUCCUUCGACGAGUCGAGUAGUUUGGGAAUGCUGCUCAAAAUGGGAGGUAAACCCCUUCUAAAGCUAAAUACCGGCCAGAGACCGAUAGCGCACAAGUAGAGUGAUCGAAAGAUGAAAAGCACUUUGAAAAGAGAGUUAAAAAGCACGUGAAAUUGUUGAAAGGGAAGCGCUUGCGACCAGACUCGCGCCCGUCGGAUCAGCCGUCGCUUGUCGGCGGCGCACUCCGGCGGGCUCGGGCCAGCAUCGGUUCGCCUCGGGGGGAGAAAGGCGGCGGGAACGUGGCUAUACGGAGUGUUAUAGCCCGCCGCGCAAUACCCCCGGGUGGUCC
rnacentral:sRNA from 1 species